rnacentral:lncRNA from 1 species
UAAUUUAUUAUAAUAAAUUUUUACAUCUAAGUAAUUAAAUUGGUAAUAUAAAGUUCCACCUUCCAUCUCAUACUUGAUUGCAUUGCUUUACAAAAUUGUGGUUCUAACAAUUUUAUGUUAUUCAAAUCUUUUUUCAUCACAUUGUCUAUCUCAAUUGCAACUUGAGUUGCAAUAAUUUUGAAUUCUUUCUAUAAAUUUCUCAAUGUAAUUUAUGUUAAAAAGAAUUAUAUACCAAGUCUAAGUGCCAAAUUUUUCAUACAUA